rnacentral:rRNA from 1 species
AGUGAACGCUGGCGGUAGGCCUAACACAUGCAAGUCGAACGGCAGCAUAGUAAGAGCUUGCUCUUACGGGUGGCGAGUGGCGGACGGGUGAGGAAUACAUCGGAAUCUACUUUUUCGUGGGGGAUAACGUAGGGAAACUUACGCUAAUACCGCAUACGACCUACGGGUGAAAGCAGGGGAUCUUCGGACCUUGCGCGAUUGAAUGAGCCGAUGUCGGAUUAGCUAGUUGGCGGGGUAAAGGCCCACCAAGGCGACGAUCCGUAGCUGGUCUGAGAGGAUGAUCAGCCACACUGGAACUGAGACACGGUCCAGACUCCUACGGGAGGCAGCAGUGGGGAAUAUUGGACAAUGGGCGCAAGCCUGAUCCAGCCAUACCGCGUGGGUGAAGAAGGCCUUCGGGUUGUAAAGCCCUUUUGUUGGGAAAGAAAAGCAGCAGGUUAAUACCCCGCUGUUCCGACGGUACCCAAAGAAUAAGCACCGGCUAACUUCGUG